rnacentral:misc_RNA from 1 species
AAGUCGUAACAAGGUAUCCGUAGGUGAACCUGCGGAUGGAUCAUUACAAAAUCUGAAACUUUAUUGUUUCAUCAUUUUUACCAAAUGUGAACUGUUUAUAUUCUUGUGAAGUAAAUUAACUUUUGCUUUAUGAAGAUAUACAUUAUCUUAACAUUUACACUUAUUUAAUCACAAUGUAUAUUGAAAUGCAUAAAACUUUUAGCAAUGGAUCUCUGGGCUCUC